rnacentral:rRNA from 1 species
ACCGCAUGGUACAGUGGUAAAAACUCCGGUGGUAUGAGAUGGACCCGCGUCUGAUUAGGUAGUUGGUGGGGUAACGGCCUACCAAGCCGACGAUCAGUAGCCGACCUGAGAGGGUGACCGGCCACAUUGGGACUGAGACACGGCCCAGACUCCUACGGGAGGCAGCAGUGGGGAAUAUUGCACAAUGGAGGAAACUCUGAUGCAGCGACGCCGCGUGAAGGAUGAAGUAUUUCGGUAUGUAAACUUCUAUCAGCAGGGAAGAAAAUGACGGUACCUGACUAAGAAGCCCCGGCUAACUACGUGCCAGCAGCCGCGGUAAUACGUAGGGGGCAAGCGUUAUCCGGAUUUACUGGGCGUAAAGGGAGCGUAGACGGCACGGCAAGCCAGAUGUGAAAGCCCGGGGCUCAACCCCGGGACUGCAUUUGGAACCGCUGAGCUAGAGUGUCGGAGAGGCAAGUGGAAUUCCUAGUGUAGCGGUGAAAUGCGUAGAUAUUAGGAGGAACACCAGUGGCGAAGGCGGCUUGCUGGACGAUGACUGACGUUGAGGCUCGAAAGCGUGGGGAGCAAACAAGAGUAGAUACCCUGGUAGUCCACGCCGUA